UCUGUUUGCGGCAGAAGCGGUAGAAGCGUGGGGCGGAAAGAAGGAGCUACCCUGGGGCUUUAGCCUCGUCUGUAGACGGGGAGUUGCUUCCGGGUUGCGCAUCAGGAAGCAGGAAGUUGUCGGUUUCGCUUCCUAGCCCGGUGGUGGCUGUCCCCGAGGCGGGAGGAGCCCAAGGGGGCGCGGGCGCCGCAUGUAUAAGCCACUGUUGAGAGUCAAGCUCACUCUUCGGAACUUCCCUCUGUGGCAAAGCUCAUUUCUGCCAGAGUUGGACCUUCUUUCUGGAGUUCUCAGCCACUCUUAUGUGAUAAUCAAGGAACACAGUGUUGUGGUUUUGGAACUGCCAUCUCAGAACAGGAAAAUACUUGGUAAGGAAGGCAGUAUGCAUAAAGGUUAAAAGCACCAACCCUGAAGUCACACUUGGGUUCACAUCCUGCACGUUUUAUCCAUCCAUUCAGCAGAUCAUGGACAUUUGGAUUGCUUCCAUUUUUGAGCUAUUAUGAAUAAUGCUGCUUGAACAUUCACAUGGAUUUUGCAUUCGGAGACAUGGAUCUUGCUGCCAAUGAGCUCAGCAUUUAUGACAAACUUUCAGAAACUGUUGAUUUGGUGAGACAGACAGGCCACCAAUGUGGCAUGUCAGAGAAGGCAAUUGAAAAAUUUAUCAGACAGUUGCUGGAAAAGAAUGAACCUCAGAGGAGGCCACCCCAGUAUCCUCUCCUUAUAGCUGUGUAUAAGGUCCUUGCAACCCUGGGAUUAAUCUUGCUCACUGCCUACUUUGUGAUUCAACCUUUUAGCCCUUUACCACCUGAACCAGUGCUUUCUGGAGCUCACACCUGGCGCUCACUCAUAUAUCACAUCCGGCUGAUGUCCUUGCCCAUUACCAAGAAGUAUAUGCCAGAAAAUAAGGGAGUUCCUCUGCAUGGGGGUGAUGAAGACAGAUCCUUUCCAGACUUUGACCCCUGGUGGACAAAUGAUCGUGAGCAGAAUGAGUCAGACCCCAUCCCUGCCAACUGCACUGGUUGUGCCCAGAAAUUACCCCUCAAAGUAAUGCUUCUGGAAGAUACCCCGAAGAAAUUUGAGGGACUCCAUCCUCUGGUGAUCAAGACAGAGCAGCCCCUGUUGUCUGAGGAGCUUCAGCAUUUUUUGUGCCAGUACCCUGAGGCAACAGAAGGCUUCACGGAAGGGUUUUUCACAAAGUGGUGGCGCUGCUUUCCUGACCGGUGGUUCCCAUUUUCUUAUCCAUGGAGAAGACCUCUGAACAAAUCACACAUUUUACGUGAGCUUUUUCCUGUUUUCACCUACCUGCCAUUUCCAGAAGAUGCCUCCUUAAAAAAGUGCUUCCUUCUUCAACCAGAACCAAUUGUGGGGAGUAAGAUGCGUAGGAUGCAUGAUCUUUUUACCAUUGGCAGCGGUGAGGCCAUGUUGCAGCUCAUCCCUCCCUUCCAGUGCCGAAGACACUGCCAUUCCGUGGCAAUACCACUAGAGCCAGGGGAUAUCGGCUAUGCUGGUGCCACCCACUGGAAGGUCUACAUUAUAGCCAGAGGGGUCCAGCCUUUGGUCAUCUGUGAUGCAACCACCCUCUCAGUACUAUAGGAAACAGAACUGUGUGGAGGAACAGCUUUUAAAGCCGAAGACCAGAUUGAAAGGAGGAAAUAAAAACAAAAACAAUGAAACACUUUCCAGGGACUGGUUACUUAGUUACCUGCCCUGUGCAUGUCUUUGUGAGCCAGCUGUAUGCUGGAGGUGAUGACCAGAGCCAGCCAGACUCUUCCAGCCCUGCUGCUUGGCCAGGACUUUGCCAAUACCUGUCUGAGAGAGACUGGGCUCUUCUAGGUCUUUUGGCACCACAGCCAUGAGGCUGCCCUUCAGGCAGGAAACAGGGUUGGUGCCUUCCCUCACUUACAUGAUCCCCUCUGCUGGCUCCCUGGCCACAGAGAGGGCAGCCAACAGGUUCUGACUUCAGAGCCAUCCUUUACCAGAUGGCUUGUGUGUCCUGUCUUCCUGACCACACCAUCUUGUACUUUUUUAGGAAAGCCAUGGCUGAUUAAAGAAGCCAUUGCAGUUUCCCAAGCAGAACAGAGUCUGGAACCAGUGAAAAAAGAUCAGAUAACCUCAAAUUGCUUUCAAGAUGUACACUUCUUUCCCAGAGUCCAUGGCUCUUAGAGUCUCAGCGAUGCCAGACUGGAGUCUGAUUGUAAUUGAAAUGGUCAUUUCUAAAUACUUUUCUCCAUUUUAUCAGGUUUUUCUGCACUUGCCCCAUCCCCCACCCAUAACUCCUUCCCUUUUCCCUUACUUAUCCAGGUGGUUUCUCAGCAGUUGGGCUUCUGGAGCCCUCUCCUUUGGCUGAGCCAGAGCCCUUUACUGCUGAGGCAGCACCAUUCCUGUCAACUGUGUUACUUUUACCAAGUGUCUUCAGAGGGGGAUGAGUUAGAGUGCUGGCCUGGGGAGAGGGCGCCUCCCCAGGUUUGAUCUUUAGGGUCUGACUUUCUGCAGGGAAGAUGUUUUACAGAUGUGUCAAGCUGAUGUUGUAAUGUGGUUGGGGAAGGAACUCCAGAUCCAAAGUGUUUGCCAGCUGGGUGUGCGACUAAAAUGAUCUUCCUCUUUGUACUGGGAAACAAGGAAGGUCAGUCACAGGCUGAGGGAGAAGACUGGAGAGGCAGAGGUAAGCCAGGAACUCUGCUCAGCCUCUUCCCUGCUGUCAGGGUGAGCAGCCAGACAGCUGCAGUUCAUCUUCAGGGAACCGGAGUGGUGGGCCUGGAUGGUCCCAGUAAUCGAAGGAAGACAGACAUCUGUCCCAACUGCUCAUGCUCUAAACGGUCUAAGCUGGUCUAAGCUGUUAAUGUGUGUUCAGUGCAGAAUAUUGACAGUAACUUAAUGUACUGCAAACUUGUAAAGACUUCCACCGUGUAAAGAAUGUAUGUAAAUUAAAGUUUUAUGUAAUGAAAGUUUUUACAUUUUGCAAUUAAAAUGUGUAUGUUGGUUGAUAA